rnacentral:rRNA from 1 species
GAUGGCGACCGGCGCACGGGUGAGUAACACGUAUCCAACCUGCCGAUAACUCGGGGAUAGCCUUUCGAAAGAAAGAUUAAUACCCGAUGGUAUAAUCAGACCGCAUGGUCUUGUUAUUAAAGAAUUUCGGUUAUCGAUGGGGAUGCGUUCCAUUAGAUAGUAGGCGGGGUAACGGCCCACCUAGUCAACGAUGGAUAGGGGUUCUGAGAGGAAGGUCCCCCACAUUGGAACUGAGACACGGUCCAAACUCCUACGGGAGGCAGCAGUGAGGAAUAUUGGUCAAUGGGCGAUGGCCUGAACCAGCCAAGUAGCGUGAAGGAUGACUGCCCUAUGGGUUGUAAACUUCUUUUAUAAAGGAAUAAAGUCGGGUAUGCAUACCCGUUUGCAUGUACUUUAUGAAUAAGGAUCGGCUAACUCCGUGCCAGCAGCCGCGGUAAUACGGAGGAUCCGAGCGUUAUCCGGAUUUAUUGGGUUUAAAGGGAGCGUAGAUGGAUGUUUAAGUCAGUUGUGAAAGUUUGCGGCUCAACCGUAAAAUUGCAGUUGAUACUGGAUGUCUUGAGUGCAGUUGAGGCAGGCGGAAUUCGUGGUGUAGCGGUGAAAUGCUUAGAUAUCACGAAGAACUCCGAUUGCGAAGGCAG